rnacentral:pre_miRNA from 1 species
AGUGAAAUUGCUGGAUCAUAUGGUGGGUCCUAGUCUAUUGAGAAAUCUCCAUACUGCUUUCCAAAGUGGUUGUGCUAAUUUGCAUUCCCACUGAAAAU